CCUGCCCCUAGCAGGGGUGGCUGCUAUGCGCCAGUAGGAGUCAGAGAAGAGAGCGGCUAUGUCCAUACUCAGCAUUCUGACCUGUGGGCAUCUGAAUGAUUCAUAGCCUAAGACU
ensembl:snoRNA LOC120100450 small nucleolar RNA SNORA17